UACGUAGGGUGCAAGCGUUGUCCGGAAUUAUUGGGCGUAAAGCGCGCGCAGGCGGCCUUGUAAGUCUGUUGUUUAAACUCGGGGCUCAACCCCGAGUCGCAAUGGAAACUGCAAAGCUUGAGUACAGAAGAGGAAAGUGGAAUUCCACGUGUAGCGGUGAAAUGCGUAGAGAUGUGGAGGAACACCAGUGGCGAAGGCGACUUUCUGGGCUGUAACUGACGCUGAGGCGCGAAAGCGUGGGGAGCAAACAGG
rnacentral:rRNA from 1 species